rnacentral:tRNA from 1 species
UGGCUAAAUAGCUCAGUAGGCAGAGCAAAGGACUGAAAAUCCUUGUGUCGGUGGUUCGAUUCCACCUUUAGCUAU